GAUGAACGCUGGCGGCGUGCCUAAUACAUGCAAGUCGAGCGAACGGACGAGAAGCUUGCUUCUCUGAUGUUAGCGGCGGACGGGUGAGUAACACGUGGAUAACCUACCUAUAAGACUGGGAUAAUUUCGGGAAACCGGAGCUAAUACCGGAUAAUAUUUUGAACCGCAUGGUUCAAAAGUGAAAGACGGUCUUGCUGUCACUUAUAGAUGGAUCCGCGCUGCAUUAGCUAGUUGGUAAGGUAACGGCUUACCAAGGCAACGAUGCAUAGCCGACCUGAGAGGGUGAUCGGCCACACUGGAACUGAGACACGGUCCAGACUCCUACGGGAGGCAGCAGUAGGGAAUCUUCCGCAAUGGGCGAAAGCCUGACGGAGCAACGCCGCGUGAGUGAUGAAGGUCUUCGGAUCGUAAAACUCUGUUAUUAGGGAAGAACAUAUGUGCAAGUAACUGUGCACAUCUUGACGGUACCUAAUCAGAAAGCCACGGCUAACUACGUG
rnacentral:rRNA from 1 species